UGAGCGCUUGCUUAUAUUGUGGCUGUAAGCCUUGUUUGUGCAAUAAAACUGCAGCAAAGCUCUAGUAAAGCAUAGGCAAUUUCCUUCCGUUUCUGUCCUCUACAACCAGUCAACGAAUUGCCGCUGUCCACCUAAGAGAAAAGCACUGAUAUUUAAAGUACUGAUAUGUUCUGAUAGACCCGUUCGUAUUGCAUGCAAUUGAUCGGAGUUAGAGCGUAUGCGCUGGUACCCGAAAGAUGGUGAACUAUGCCUGAGCAGGAUGAAGCCAGAGGAAACUCUGGUGGAAGUCCGAAGCGGUUCUGACGUGCAAAUCGAUCGUCCGACUCGGGUAUAGGGGCGAAAGACUAAUCGAACCAUCUAGUAGCUGGUUCCCUCUGAAGUUUCCCCCAGGAUAGCUGGAACUUAUUUUGAGCAGUUAUAUACGGUAAAGCGAAUGAUUAGAGGAAUUGGGGACGAAACGACCUCAACCUAUUCUCAAACUUUCAAUGUGUAUGACGUCUCGCUUGCUUGAAAGAAUUGUGAAGCGUUUAGACAUUGAAUGUGAGUUCCAAGUGGGCCAUUUUUGGUAAGCAGAACUGGCGCUGUGGGAUGAAAAAGUUCUGAUAAACUACCGAUGUUUUAUGUGUUCUCCCGAUCUAACUAAUAGAAGGGUGCAAAACGUGAAGCAUUACAAAAUGCAACUAAAACUUGAUUUCUACAG
rnacentral:ncRNA from 1 species